rnacentral:ncRNA from 12 species
UUUACUUAGGUCUGUGGUUGAAAGUCGAUGCUAGUCGCAGGCAAAGCGAUCCACGUAAGGUAGUACAAACUACUGAUCAUGGUGCGGCUUAGAAGUGAGUCCUACCUAGAGAAUUAUACAUAUAGUUAAUUUAUCUAGAGAGGAGUAUUAGUGGGAAAAUCCUGCAAACCUCCCAGUAGGCAGGUGUGGGGUCAAAAAAUCAGGUCAGCUAAGUAAA